AGUGAACGCUGGCGGUAGGCCUAACACAUGCAAGUCGAACGGCAGCACAGUAAGAGCUUGCUCUUACGGGUGGCGAGUGGCGGACGAGUGAGGAAUACAUCGGAAUCUACUUUUUCGUGGGGGAUAACGUAGGGAAACUUACGCUAAUACCGCAUACGACCUACGGGUGAAAGCAGGGGAUCUUCGGACCUUGCGCGAUUGAAUGAGCCGAUGUCGGAUUAGCUAGUUGGCGGGGUAAAGGCCCACCAAGGCGACGAUCCGUAGCUGGUCUGAGAGGAUGAUCCGCCACCCUGGAACUGAGACACGGUCCAGACUCCUACGGGAGGCAGCAGUGGGGAAUAUUGGACAAUGGGCGCAAGCCUGAUCCAGCCAUACCGCGUGGGUGAAGAAGGCCUUCGGGUUGUAAAGCCCUUUUGUUGGGAAAGAAAAGCAGCAGGUUAAUACCCCGCUGUUCUGACGGUACCCAAAGAAUAAGCACCGGCUAACUUCGUG
rnacentral:rRNA from 1 species